CGUGGGCCACCUCAGCCACAGAGCCAUCUCCCCCAACACAUACCACACUAGAGAGAAAGCAAACGGAUGGGCGGUGUCAGAGACUGUGCCUUAUCUUCAUCUGUAGAGGUUAAAGCUUCAACGGAGAGGCCUCACCAAACACACAGUGUGCCGAGACAAUGCGGAGCUUUAUGGGAAUGACGGAUGAGGAGAAAGAAAGUCAUAAUGGUUUGGAGCAACAUGACCCUUUGAAGUGACGUCCGCAUUUCAGACACAUGUACCUGCCACCUGUGGACAUUCCAUGAGGUCAGCAUUUACUACAGCGAUGCAGCCGCCCUGUGACUCAGAGGCUUAGGCUUCUACCCCUGAGGGCUAUCAAGACCGGCUAAUGUCACCCAACACAGCGGCUACAUCUGUCUCUGUCCAGCCCCCAUCUCAGGGCACAGAGGGUGCUGAUGGGAAAGGUCUACAACAAUAAAGUCCAGCUUGACGCAGGAGUGUGACCACAUGCUUUGACAAGAGCACCAAGAGCACAUUAUGUGUCCGGAGUGGAGCGCCGAGGGCUUCCCGGGCUCUGAUUGACCUGCCUAGGCUAAUCUUUCAAAAGAGGGUUUAAGGACACAAGGAGUCUAUUCCAGUUCAACUCGACGACUACAUUGGACCCAAGUAGACUGUAGUACAGGUGCUACUAUUGUUGCCGGUCGUAUCCCCGCACGUUUGGUCUGUGGCCUGGCCCGACCGCUCGCUCUCUGACCACAAGGUUUAAUCUGUCAGCUGGGCGGCCGCACCUCAUGUGUCAGCGCACAUCACAUGGCUUGUCAGAAAAACACGCCGAUGCUGCGUAUGGCAUUCAGAGCUCACCUUGAAUAAAAUGGAGGUCUGGGGGCUUUUUUUUACCGAACCGUUCACCUUUUGUGCUGAGUGUCAGCUGGGACACACCCUCCAUUGUGCCGCCUCCCUGGGAAACACCACGCCGGGAUACGCUGGGCUGCUGUAACAGUGUCAGGAUGUUCAACUGUUCUGAUGAGGGAACGUACCGCUGAGGAUCUCUUUAAGGCUUUUGAACCAAGUCUCACAGUGGUCCAC